ensembl:lncRNA
CUCUCAGCCUGUUGGCGUUUCUCUCCCUCAUUGUUUUGACAAGGAGACAAGCCCUACAUUUGCCUGAUUUCUGAAGUGUGGUGAGGAGCUGGCCAUGGAGCUGCAAACAGAUGGCUGUGGAGAAGUGAGAAGCUGGCGGAGGGCUCUUCUGUCCUGGGACAUUCGAGCAAGUGGGGUCCUCACGGAAGACCACAUGCAAAGCUUGGCUGGGUCUUCGCAGAUACCAAACAAGGAAAGCACACCUGGAAGCCGCAAGAGAAUGCAACAUUUCCAAAUGUGUUUUCAUUCUGUGUUGGAACAAAAUGAAAAUCUUUUGCCAAAAGGAGAGAGAAUGAACAGAAGAGAGAGUUGAAUAAUGUUACAGAAGGCUUGUGCGAAAAACACAACUGGUCAAGAAGAUAUAAACAACAUUUAAUUGGGAAGAGUAUGGUCAUAUAAGAACACAACAUAGCAUGAUUGGGAGCAGGUAGCUGGACUGCAAAAUAUCCACUCAGCUAAAUUGAUACCCUAAGUGGCGAUCUGGAGGAAGCCCACAGGCCCAAUUUUCCUGAUGAAUAUGGGGAAGAACUUUGUCAUUCUGCAGUGGGGAAUUAGACAAGAAGGAUCCAGGAAAGGAUCUGGGCAAAAGUGCUGUAAAACAGAAUUAAGAGGCAUGAGUAGCCUUUGGAAUAGUACUGUUUUUCUUAAAUUUCAAGAGAAAAAUCUUUUUGGUUUUCCUUUAGGAAGAAACUGACUUUUGUUGACAUAUUAUAUAGUCAAACAAAGACCAAAGACCAAACUGUAAAACAGGAGUCACUUUAAUAUUUAUAGGGUUUCCCUGGCAGUAUACUGCUUUACCUCAGUGUUUGAUGCCAAAACUUCUUUAGUCAAUGCAAUUCCAUAACACCUGUGUUGAGAUUUGCUAACCCAUAGAAGUAGCAUGAACCCAUUUCCCUGUUGCCUUUUCCAGGCAGAUUUCUACAUGUUUGCUAAGCCUUGCACAGCACCCACCUUGUACUGCUAUAGGAAUUACUUAUUAUAAAGCGGUGGCUGUAUUUAAAGGUAUUUUAGAAAGGUUUUCUUCAAAUCUAAAGCCCACUCAAUUGUCCCUUAAAUGAGGGCCUAAUUGUGUUGUAAGGAGCCUGUUGUCAUCUAUUCUUCCCUUUUCGAUGGUCCACAGACGAGUUGGAAACUACUGCAGUCCCCAGGUCCCUGGGACGUUGUUGUGCCUUUCAUUGGAUGGGUAAGGGGUGAUGCUGUCCUUCGGUGGCAGCAAGGGUGGGCGGUGUCCCGGUGUCCCUGGAUAUGUCCUCCCUGUGUGUGAGGGGCAGGACUAUCCCACAGGCUCCCCUUGGGCUGGGGGACUCGCCAUC